UCCCGCAUAGUUCAGUCAGUAAAGAAUCUGCCUGUAAUGCAGGAGACCCGGGUUCGAUUCCUGGGUCAGGAA
rfam:Ovis aries breed Texel chromosome 1, whole genome shotgun sequence.